rnacentral:lncRNA from 1 species
CCCACUUGCAUUCUCCUCUCCCCAGUUUAGCACCCGUUCAAAUAAGGUUGAAAGGCCCUCAACAAUGCUUCAGAACAAGCUUUCUGCCACAUCAUUGUGAUCAAGAGAUUCGUGUGAUGAGGAAAUGUUUGUAUCCCUGAAGGAAGACCUUGGCAUCCCAUUUCUGUGGUAGGUAGGUUACAAAAAGAAGAAGAAAAAAAAAUGGAUAGAUGAAAGAAGGAUCUACUGAUUAAGCUGGCAUUUAGACUAGGAAUUUUCUGGGUUAAUUAACAUUUUCAUAGCACAAAUUGCUUUAAUUUUUUUUUUUUUUUUGGCUUA